rnacentral:tRNA from 1 species
GUUUCCAUAGUGUAGUGGUCAUCACGUUCGCCUUACAUGCGAAAGGUCCCCAGUUCGAAACUGGGUGGAAACA